CAGCCGCCGCGGUAAUACGAAGGGGGCUAGCGUUGUUCGGAAUUACUGGGCGUAAAGCGCACGUAGGCGGAUAUUUAAGUCAGGGGUGAAAUCCCAGAGCUCAACUCUGGAACUGCCUUUGAUACUGGGUAUCUUGAGUAUGGAAGAGGUGAGUGGAAUUCCGAGUGUAGAGGUGAAAUUCGUAGAUAUUCGGAGGAACACCAGUGGCGAAGGCGGCUCACUGGUCCAUUACUGACGCUGAGGUGCGAAAGCGUGGGGAGCAAACAGGAUUAGAUACCCGGGUAGUCCCUGUCUCUUAUAC
rnacentral:rRNA from 1 species